GUUUGGGAGUUUAAAAAGAGAAUUUCACCGAUCCUGUCUGAUCUCGGAAGCUAAGCAGGGUUGGGCCUGGUUAGUACUUAGAUGCGAGACCAUCUAGGAAGACCAGGUGCUAUAGGCA
rnacentral:rRNA from 1 species